rnacentral:rRNA from 1 species
GAUGAACGCUGGCGGCGUGCCUAAUACAUGCAAGUCGAGCGAACGGACGAGAAGCUUGCUUCUCUGAUGUUAGCGGCGGACGGGUGAGUAACACGUGGAUAACCUACCUAUAAGACUGGGAUAACUUCGGGAAACCGGAGCUAAUACCGGAUAAUAUUUUGAACCGCAUGGUUCAAAAGUGAAAGACGGUCUUGCUGUCACUUAUAGAUGGAUCCGCGCUGCAUUAGCUAGUUGGUAAGGUAACGGCUUACCAAGGCAACGAUGCAUAGCCGACCUGAGAGGGUGAUCGGCCACACUGGAACUGAGACACGGUCCAGACUCCUACGGGAGGCAGCAGUAGGGAAUCUUCCGCGAUGGGCGAAAGCCUGACGGAGCAACGCCGCGUGAGUGAUGAAGGUCUUCGGAUCGUAAAACUCUGUUAUUAGGGAAGAACAUAUGUGUAAGUAACUGUGCACAUCUUGACGGUACCUAAUCAGAAAGCCACGGCUAACUACGUGCCAGCAGCCGCGGUAAUACGUAGGUGGCAAGCGUUAUCCGGAAUUAUUGGGCGUAAAGCGCGCGUAGGCGGUUUUUUAAGUCUGAUGUGAAAGCCCACGGCUCAACCGUGGAGGGUCAUUGGAAACUGGAAAACUUGAGUGCAGAAGAGGAAAGUGGAAUUCCAUGUGUAGCGGUGAAAUGCGCAGAGAUAUGGAGGAACACCAGUGGCGAAGGCGACUUUCUGGUCUGUAACUGACGCUGAUGUGCGAAAGCGUGGGGAUCAAACAGGAUUAGAUACCCUGGUAGUCCACGCCGUAAACGAUGAGUGCUAAGUGUUAGGGGGUUUCCGCCCCUUAGUGCUGCAGCUAACGCAUUAAGCACUCCGCCUGGGGAGUACGACCGCAAGGUUGAAACUCAAAGGAAUUGACGGGGACCCGCACAAGCGGUGGAGCAUGUGGUUUAAUUCGAAGCAACGCGAAGAACCUUACCAAAUCUUGACAUCCUUUGACAACUCUAGAGAUAGAGCUUUCCCCUUCGGGGGACAAAGUGACAGGUGGUGCAUGGUUGUCGUCAGCUCGUGUCGUGAGAUGUUGGGUUAAGUCCCGCAACGAGCGCAACCCUUAAGCUUAGUUGCCAUCAUUAAGUUGGGCACUCUAAGUUGACUGCCGGUGACAAACCGGGGGAAGGUGGGGAUGACGUCAAAUCAUCAUGCCCCUUAUGAUUUGGGCUACACACGUGCUACAAUGGACAAUACAAAGGGCAGCGAAACCGUGAGGUCAAGCAAAUCCCAUAAAGUUGUUCUCAGUUCGGAUUGUAGUCUGCAACUCGACUACAUGAAGCUGGAAUCGCUAGUAAUCGUAGAUCAGCAUGCUACGGUGAAUACGUUCCCGGGUCU